UACGUAGGUGGCAAGCGUUGUCCGGAUUUAUUGGGCGUAAAGAGCUCGUAGGCGGUUUGUCGCGUCUGCCGUGAAAGUCCGGGGCUCAACUCCGGAUCUGCGGUGGGUACGGGCAGACUAGAGUGAUGUAGGGGAGACUGGAAUUCCUGGUGUAGCGGUGAAAUGCGCAGAUAUCAGGAGGAACACCGAUGGCGGAGGCAGGUCUCUGGGCAUUAACUGACGCUGAGGAGCGAAAGCAUGGGGAGCGAACAGG
rnacentral:rRNA from 1 species